rnacentral:rRNA from 1 species
UAAUACGUAGGUGGCAAGCGUUACUCGGAAUCACUAGGCGUAAAGCGCAGGUAGGCGGUUUGGUAAGUCUCUUGUGAAAGCUCCCGGCUCAACUGGGAGAGGUCAAGGGAAACUACCAGGCUAGAGUGUGGCAGAGGAAACUGGAAUUCCCGGUGUAGCGGUGAAAUGCGUAGAUAUCGGGAGGAAUACCUAUGGCGAAAGCAGGUUUCUGGGCCGUCACUGACGCUGAGCUGCGAAAGCUAGGGGAGCAAACAGGAUUAGAUACCCUGGUAGUCCUAGCCCUAAACGAUGCUCAUUAGGUGUGGAAGGUAUCGACCCCUCCCGCGCCGAAGCUAACGCAUUAAAUGAGCCGCCUGGGGAGUACGGCCGCAAGGUUG